GCGCUGCCAUGUUCUGGGCCACGGCUCGGGCCUGAGACCAUAACGGCCACCGUCCACUGGCCAUCUUAUCUACUGUGUCUCACCUACCACCCACCCUCCUCUCGAUCCUUCCUGCUCCUCUCUCCUUAUACCAUACAACCUCGCUGCAAGAAACCAGACCGAGGCCAUGUGCUCAUCAGCUUCUUCCUCGUACCAUGAGGCAUGAGAGGAAGCUCCUGCUCAUCCCUUCCCGGAUUGCGGCGGCAAGGUCGUCACCUUUGUCUCGCGGGCCGGAGCCCGGUUCUACAUGUGCGUAAACAAGGAUGCUAGACUAGCGGCUUCAUGAGAUCCACCGACACUUACCUGCCGAAGCUAAGUUGCUAUGACCUGCCCCACGUGCACGGAUUGCAGCAGCCGCUGUUGUCCGUGCAUCCAUCGUCGUCUCUCCAACACAGAUCUCGUCGGGAGCAGCCUUUCCCCGACGAAACACAGAUCAACCACCAAGCUGCACAUGUACGUCCUCAGCCACAGAUUCUGCAGUCGGCCCCUCACUCCGGUUCUUCGUGGUGUUGCUCGUCUGACUCUCAUCGCGUAUUUGGUGCUCCUGGCCGGCAGCAACCUGGUGCUUGUGUUAGCGUGGUUGGUUCUGAUUUUCGGGCAGCAUAACAAUUAGUAUUUCUUUCUAGCUAAGUAGAGCCAGGUGGCAGCGUCCAAGAUGUACUACGAACAUAUGUAAUCCCAAAUAGAUUUUGGUACUAAGCGCUAAGUCCUUUAUCAUUAGCCCUAGUGUUUUUUUGUCUGUAAUCUCGUGUAAGCAUCGGUUUAAGUAAAAAUACUACUGCUGCCAGACA